GAUGAACGCUGGCGGCGUGCCUAAUACAUGCAAGUCGAGCGAACGGACGAGAAGCUUGCUUCUCUGAUGUUAGCGGCGGACGGGUGAGUAACACGUGGAUAACCUACCUAUAAGACUGGGAUAACUUCGGGAAACCGGAGCUAAUACCGGAUAAUAUUUUGGACCGCAUGGUUCAAAAGUGAAAGACGGUCUUGCUGUCACUUAUAGAUGGAUCCGCGCUGCAUUAGCUAGUUGGUAAGGUAACGGCUUACCAAGGCAACGAUGCAUAGCCGACCUGAGAGGGUGAUCGGCCACACUGGAACUGAGACACGGUCCAGACUCCUACGGGAGGCAGCAGUAGGGAAUCUUCCGCAAUGGGCGAAAGCCUGACGGAGCAACACCGCGUGAGUGAUGAAGGUCUUCGGAUCGUAAAACUCUGUUAUUAGGGAAGAACAUAUGUGUAAGUAACUGUGCACAUCUUGACGGUACCUAAUCAGAAAGCCACGGCUAACUACGUG
rnacentral:rRNA from 1 species